rnacentral:rRNA from 1 species
AGUUACUGCCAUACCACCCUGACUGCACACGAUCUUGUCUGAUCUUGAAAGCAAAGCAAGGUCAGGCCUAGUUAGUACUUGGAUGGGAGACCACCUGGGAAUACAGGGUGCUGUAGGCU